CGAAAGGGCGUUUCCUGGAGCCCUCCAGGUUGGACAAUUCAGGAACGCUGAAAAUCGCCCUGCUCCAACUCCGUCUAUUCCAGCUAGUUAACCCUCGGGAGUGCUGACUAUAUGGGAGAAGAGGAAUGUGAGGAUCCAGCUCCUUCCGGCCCCUGGACUCCCUGAAAGCUUCCACAGGACAAGGCAUCAGGAGGAAAGAAACAGUGGACUGGCCCCUGGCAAAGUGGAGUUCCUCAUCAAGGGGACAUUCUACAAUCCAGUCCCAGUGCAAAACUGCCCUGCUCUUCUCUCUCCUGAAUUCAACAGGGUUUUACAAGGUCUUCUUACUUCUCUGGUGUCUU